rnacentral:rRNA from 1 species
UUAAAACUCAAAGGAAUUGACGGGGACCCGCACAAGCAGUGGAGCAUGUGGUUUAAUUCGAUGCUACGCGAAGAACCUUACCGAGGUUUGACAUCUCUGGAAUCCGCCAGAAACGGUGGAGUGCCUUUUAGGAGCCAGAUGACAGGUGUUGCAUGGCCGCCGUCAGCUCGUGUCGUGAGAUGUUGGGUUAAGUCCCUCAACGAGCGCAACCCUUAUCCUGAUUUGAAUAUUUAUCGGGAGACCGCCCGGGUAACCGGGAGGAAGGUGGGGAUGACGUCAGGUCCGCAUGGCCCUUACACCUCGGGCUACACACGUGCUACAAUGGCCGGUACAAUGGGUUGCCAAGCCGCAAGGUGGAGCUAAUCCCAUCAAAACUGGUCUUAGUUCGGAUUGAGGGCUGAAACUCGCCCUCAUGAAGCUGGAAUUGCUAGUAAUGGCGUGUCAGCACAUCGCCGUGAAUACGUUAUCGGGUCUUGUACACACCGCCCGUCAAAUCACGAAAGUUGGAAGUACCCGAAGUUCCGCCCUAGGCGGACCUAAGGUAAGACCAGCAAUUGGGGUUAAGUCGUAACAAGGUAUCCGUAUCGGAAGGUGCGGAUGGAUCACCUCCUUU